rnacentral:lncRNA from 1 species
GUACUCCUCUCCUGGGCAGAUGAAGGCCACGGUGUUGCUUGUGGUGUUAGUCGCCGCAGUGUUGCUGCUACACUCCGGUGACGCAUGGAGACGUCGUUCAUGGCUUCGGAGGCUAUUUAGGGGAACAAGACCGUGCAAGAAACUGCAUGGCAAAUGCCAUUGGCAACGCCGAGACGUAGGAGACGCUGAAGACGCAGCUAUGCAUCUACACCUCGACACACAGGAUUCACCUGCUCCGUCGAAAUAAGAUGUAUGUAGAUCAUACUGAUGUACCGGGGCAGGGAACCCCCAUCAAACCGCACAAUAUUGUUCUCAGUGUAAUCGUCCAGAUGUAACUAUUGCUCGGUUGGUACGUUUAACGACAUACCAAAUUAAUGGUAAAGCUACUAUAACUACAUGACUGUGUGCUCAAUAAUUAUCAACAAAUGCUUUUAUUUUUCAGGUAAUAUCGAUUGUGAGAUCGUUUGGCUUUUGACAAUAAAAUCGACAAUAAAAUUCAACGACGACA